GGACAUGACUCUCAGCAAUGGAUAUCUUGGCUCUCACAUUGAUGAAGAGCACAACAAAAUGCAAUACAUGGUGCGAAUUAUAGAAUCCUGCGAACCAUUGAGUCUUUGAACGCAAGUUACGCCCGAGGCCAGCCGGCCGAGCGCACGUCCGCCUGGGCGUCAAG
rnacentral:rRNA from 1 species